ensembl:lncRNA
UGUGCAUUUUUACCUCCUUAACCCCUCCUGCUGCUAUCCCAAAGAAAAUUUGGGAUCAGGGGGAUUCCAGCAGCCUGGAGGAAGAGGAGAGCAGGGAAGGCUCCAGCUGGAGCUUCUGGGGAGGAAAAUUUUUCAGGAAAAUUUCUCAGGGAAAUUCUCCCUCAUGAAUCAGGGAAUUUCCCCCUCAUGGACCAAGGAAUUUCUCCCUCAUGGAUCAGGGAAUUCCUCCUUCAUGGAUCAGGGAAUUUCUCCCUCAUGGAUCAGGGAAUUCCUCCAAGAAUCAGGGAAUUUCUCCUCCACAGAUGAGGGAAUUUCUCCCUGAUGGAUCAGGGAAUUCCUCCCUGAUGGAUCAGGGAAUUCCUCCAUGGAUAAGGGAAAUUCACCCUCAUGGACCAGGGAAUUCCUCCUCCAUGGAUCAAUGUUUUCCUCCCUCAUGGAUCAGGGAAUUCCUCCUUCAUGGAUCAGGGAAUUUUUCCUUCAUGGAUGAGGGAAUUCCUCCCUCAUGGACCAAGGAGUUUCUCCUCCAUGGAUCAGGGAAUUCCUCCUUCAUGGAUCAGGGAAUUCCUCCAAGAAUCAGGGAAUUUCUCCUCCACAGAUGAGGGAAUUCCUCCCUCAUGGAUCUGGGAAUUUCUCCCUCAUGGAUGAGGGAAUUUCUCUGUGGAUCUGGGAAUUUCUCCCUUACAGAUCAGGGAAAUUCACCCUCAUGAAUCAGGGAAUUCCUCCCUCAUGGAUCAGGGAAUUCCUCCUUCAUGGAUCAGGGAAUUCCUCCUCCAUGGACCAGGGAAUUCCUCCCUCGUGGAUAAGGGAGUUUGUCCCUUAUGAAUCAGGGAAUUUCUCCUUCAUGGAUCUGGGAAUUCCUCCCUCAUGGAUCAGGGAAUUCCUCCAAGAAUCAGGGAAUUUCUCCACUGUGGAUAAGGGAAUUUCUCCUCCACGGAUGAGGGAAUUUCUGCCUGAUGGAUCAGGGAAUUUCUCCCUCAUGGAUCAGGGAAUUUCUCCCUCAUGGAUCUGGGAAUUACUCCCUCAUGGAUCAGGGAAUUCCUCCCUCAUGGAUCUGGGAAUUUCUUCCUCAUGGAACUGGGAAUUUCUCCUUCAUGGAUCUGGGAAUUCCUCCCUCACGGAUGAGGGAAUUUCUCUGUGGAUCUGGGAAUUUCUCCCUUACAGAUCAGGGAAAUUCACCCUCAUGAAUCAGGGAAUUCCUCCUCCAUGGACCAGGGAAUUCCUCCCUCGUGGAUAAGGGAGUUUGUCCCUUAUGAAUCAGGGAAUUUCUCCCUCAUGGAUCAGGGAAAUUUGUGUGGGCAAACCCCUGUUUGCAUCUGAGUGAAAUUUGUGAUUUAUGCCAACCACUGAUAACUUGAGUUUCCCCAUCAAUCUCAGAGCUGGAGGACAUUCCCCUGCUCACCCCUGGCUCUGAACAACACAGGGGAAUUAAUAUCAAAUAUCCUGGCUCCAAAUAUUGUUUUGUGUGGGCAAAUCCCUGCUCACAUCUGCCUGAAAUUUGUGAUUUGUGCCAGCCACUGAUAACUUGAGUUUCCUCAUCAAUCUCAGAGCUGGAGGACAUUUCCCUGCUCAGCUUUGAACAGCACAGGGGAUUUAAUAUCAAAUAUCCUGGGUCCAAAUAUUGCUUUGUGUGGGCAAAUCCCUGCUCACAUCUGCCUGAAAUUUGUGAUUUGUGCCAGCAACUGAUAACUUGAGUUUCCCAGUCAUUCUCAGAGCUGGAGGACAUUCCCCUGCUCACCCCUGGCUCUGAACAUCACAGGGGAUUUAAUAUCAAAUAUCCUGGGUCCAAAUAUUUUUUUGUGUGGGCAAAACCCUGCUCACAUGUGCCUGAAAUUUGUGAUUUGUGCCAACCACCGACAGCUCGAGUUUCCCCAUCGAUCUCAGAGCUGUGGGGGGAGCUGGAGGACCUUCCCCUGCUCACCCCUGGGUCUGAACAACACAGGGGAAUUAAUAUCAAAUGUCCCAAAUAUUCCUUUGUGUGGGCAAAUCCCUGCCCACAUCUGCCUGAGGUUUGUGAUUUGUGCCAGCCACCGAUAGCUCAAUCAAUUCCCCAUCAAUCUCAGAGCAGGAGGACAUUUCCCUGCUCACCCCUGGCUCUGAACAACACAGGGGAUUUAAUAUCAAAUAUCCUGGGUCCAAAUGUUCCUUUGUGUGGGCAAAUCCCUGCUCACAUCUGAUUGAAAUUUGUGAUUUGUGCCAACCACCCAUAACUUGAGUUUCCCCAUCAAUCUCAGAGCUGUGGGGGGAGCUGGAAGACAUCCCUCUGCUCAGCCCUCUGAACAGC